AACUACAGCUCACGUGGAUUCUCAGUUGCUUGCUGGGACUGCAAACCCCCCAUUGUGUCAAAUGGUGGUGCCUUCCUCCUAGAGCUAUUUCUUUCAUCUGUACUGGGUACAGCUCCGCCUGUCCCCUCAUCUUCACACUGAGGGCCGCUGGUUCUGACAUCAACUAUCCUGAUGAAGUAUGAAGGCUUUGACCAUGAACUCCAAAGGACGACUCUGGAUCCAAGGUGACGAAACUGAAGCACAGAGAAGGUAAGCACCUUGAUGAAAGUUGCACAGCUAGUCCGCAGGGGAGCUGGAAUUGAACCCAAGCGAUCGGAUGCCAGGGCCUAUGUUCCUAACAGCUGAUAGCAUAUAAGCAUCCAAACAGUAAACGUGUGUGGGAGCCUCAUCUAUCUCAAGGGUUACCCAAGGCUGGCGGGACCUGGGAGCAAGCCUUGAGGUCCGUGUUCUCCUGGAGUGUGCGUGCUGGUAAGGAAAGGCAGCCACCAGCCAAACAGAGAGGCACAGACAGUACAGCGAAAAGACAAGCCAGUCGGGACGGGGUGGUGAAGCAGCAGCUCAGCUGGUCCCUUCCUCCACGAGCAGUUUCUGAGCACACACAACGAAGCCCCUGGGAGCCGUCAGCAGUGCCCGCAGGCCCCAGCCUCGAUGACCCCCGUUUCUGUCUCUAGACAAUGAGGCUUCUGCUCCAACAACCCAUGGCUUCUUUGGUUAGGUCAGAAGUUCCUUGGGGAACACUUACCUUAACCGAGUUUUAGGUGCAAGGCGAAUAAUUAAUGCUAAAGUAGAAUGUGUUCUCUAGAGUAUUCUUGGAGGUUUAUAGUAAGAGACAUAAAGGUUGCAAGAAGCUAGAAGGGAUCAUUUCACUAGAUGUGAGCAGGCUUUAAAUGCGACGGGAGUGUUUAUUCAAGCAGGUGGAUGCUUAUCGUGCAGCAUGACACCUGCAGUCACUGACCACCUCUGCUGCAGAGUGCCGAAGGGGGAAGCGGGAAGAUUUAAGGGGAGGCCUGGGGGUUGUAAAGAGAGCAAGACACUGGAGAAAAUUGACAAAGCUGUGGAUUCCUCUUCCCUGGAGAGCCUGGCCAAUUGUAUUGUGUUUUGUAUUUUGGUAAGGCCUUAGCCAGAAAAAGAAGGAUAAAGUGGCUCACCAAGUGGAUUUCCGGGCCCCAGGAGGCUCUGAUAGUUCUAGAAGAUAGUCAGAAAUAGCACAACUUCACACCCUGCCUCCAGCACCCCUGCCACUUAGGGCAGGGCAGGGCCACUUCCUCCUUGUAGCAUUUCAGGGGGGCAAUCUGUGCUAAGAAACAGUACUCGAGGAGUGCCACCGGGAAGCCCUGUGACAGGAAUGGACAAGGUCAAAUGCACGCGAGGCAUAAGGCCCAAGUCACUGACAACGGUGGAAUCAGAAGGGUGAACCAGAGUAAGAAACGCGAGCUGCCGUUUUAUAUCAGGCCUGCAGAAGAUGCAUAGAAACAUGCUAAACCCAGGAUCAGGGGUUGCCUGAACUAUCAGGAUGGAUCUUCACAGGAGAAUAUGUGCUCAAUAAUCUGGCCCACCAGAUAACACCAGCUUCAAACAAUAGUAAGACUUGAAAUAGAAAAUUACUGGUGAUGACUGCAUGAAGGCUGUAAGAGGACACUUUGUCAUUUCAUGGAGCCUAAUGGGAAAGAGGUGACAGGAAAGAGAAGAGAAGA